rnacentral:rRNA from 1 species
GACGAACGCUGGCGGCGUGCUUAACACAUGCAAGUCGAACGGAAAGGCCCUGCUUUUGUGGGGUGCUCGAGUGGCGAACGGGUGAGUAACACGUGAGUAACCUGCCCUUGACUUUGGGAUAACUUCAGGAAACUGGGGCUAAUACCGGAUAGGAGCUCCUGCUGCAUGGUGGGGGUUGGAAAGUUUCGGCGGUUGGGGAUGGACUCGCGGGUUAUCAGCUUGUUGGUGGGGUAGUGGCUUACCAAGGCUUUGACGGGUAGCCGGCCUGAGAGGGUGACCGGCCACAUUGGGCCUGCGAUACGGCCCAGACUCCUACGGGAGGCAGCAGUGGGGAAUAUUGCACAAUGGGCGGAAGCCUGAUGCAGCAACGCCGCGUGCGGGAUGACGGCCUUCGGGUUGUAAACCGCUUUCGCCUGUGACGAAGCGUGAGUGACGGUAAUGGGUAAAGAAGCACCGGCUAACUACGUG